CAAUCGGCCCUUUUCAGGGCCACACAAUUGAAACCAAAAAUAAAGAU
rfam:Lasius niger Lnig_2.1_36647, whole genome shotgun sequence.